UGGGGAAUAUUGGACAAUGGGGGCAACCCUGAUGCAGCGACGCCGCGUGGGUGAUGAAGGUUUUCGGAUCGUAAAGCCCUUUUCUGCAUGACGAGCACAGGACGGUAGUGCAGGAAUAAGUGUUGGCUAACUACGUGCCAGCAGCCGCGGUAAAACGUAGGACACAAGCGUUAUCCGGAAUUACUGGGCGUAAAGGGCGUGCAGGCGGUUGCGUAAGUUAGGCGUGAAAGACUUCGGCUAAACCGGGGGAGGUCGUCUGAUACUGCGCAACUAGAGUAUGGUAGAGGCGUGUAGAAUUCCGGGUGUAGUGGUGAAAUGCGUAGAGAUCCGGAGGAAUACCAGUGGCGAAGGCGGCACGCUGGGCCAUAACUGACGCUGAGGCGCGAAAGCCAGGGGAGCAAACGGGAUUAGAUACCCCUGUAGUCCCUGAGCGGGCUGGCAAGGCGCAU
rnacentral:rRNA from 1 species